AGAACGAACGCUGGCGGCGUGGAUAAGACAUGCAAGUCGAACGCUGACAUUUAGGUAGCAAUAUUUGAAUGUCGGAGUGGCGCAAGGGUGCGUAACACGUGGGUAAUUUGCCGUGAAGUUUGGGAUAACUUGCUGAAAGGCGAGCUAAUACCGCAUAACACUUACGAGUCAAAGCAGCAAUGCGCUUGGAGAGGAGUUCGCGGCCGAUUAGCUAGUUGGCGGGGUAAUGGCCCACCAAGGCGAUGAUCGGUA
rnacentral:rRNA from 1 species